UAUGGGAAUCACUGGUUAAUCAGAAGCACUAUAGCCAAGAGUGCUUCUCUUGGAGAAGGAAACACAGAAACUCUGUUCCUUUCCAGUGCUGUGACUUGGUCAAGUGACUCACCCCUCUGUGCCUUUGUUUCCUCAUCUGGGUCUUGGUGAGGCUUAGAGUGAGGACUGUUGGAAAGCAUUAGGACAGAUGUAUAAGGAGCAUAUACACGCUUUUAUACAAAUCUUCAGUUAACAGUCGUGGAAAGGACUCAAGCUCUACUCCAUCUCCACCUCCUUGGGUUUGGGUAAAUUCUCAGCAGGAUUGUGCAUUAGGUGAGUGUCUGCUUCUCCCCUGGGUCCCCAUAACUUUGCUUGCUCCUAAACAGGGAGUCACAUCUGGGAAGAGACAGUAGAUAAUGGAGCCAGAGAGCUGACUCACCACGUGGGAUGGCUGUGGGCAAGUUUCCCAGGUUGCACAAGCCACCGGGUUUUCUGAAACAGAUGGAAAGACCGCCUCUGCAGGCCGCUGGCUGACUUCAAGAUAGUCGUGCUGUAUCAAGUGGUGUGAGAAGGAAAGACCCAUAAGAGACUUUGUCAUCCAAGUUUCAGAUUCCCCUGGAUUCCUUAGCGAUAAGACAUGCAUGGCUCAUUACAUAUUCUAUUUAUGAAAUUUCUACGGGCAAAGACUCGAAUGCCCUUUAACUGGGUGCGCACAUGGGCAUCGCAUAGUUUUCCAGAGUAACCCAAGAUACUGGGGUGGAGAGAAAAAUGGAACCAGAAGACAAGCCAGCUUCUACCAAAGCCACCCAGCAGUCAGCCAGCCCAGACUCUCAAAUCUGGACCUGGGGGUCAGCCCUAGGUAGACAGGCAAGCCAUCUUUCAAAGGCUCCCAUGUCCUCUUAAUAAAGUGAGAGCCAGACAUUA